CCUACGGGAGGCAGCAGUGGGGAAUUUUGGACAAUGGGCGAAAGCCUGAUCCAGCCAUGCCGCGUGCAGGAUGAAGGCCUUCGGGUUGUAAACUGCUUUUGUACGGAACGAAAAGGUCCUUUCUAAUAAAGAGGGCUCAUGACGGUACCGUAAGAAUAAGCACCGGCUAACUACGUGCCAGCAGCCGCGGUAAUACGUAGGGUGCAAGCGUUAAUCGGAAUUACUGGGCGUAAAGCGUGCGCAGGCGGUGAUGUAAGACAGAUGUGAAAUCCCCGGGCUCAACCUGGGAACUGCAUUUGUGACUGCAUCGCUGGAGUGCGGCAGAGGGGGAUGGAAUUCCGCGUGUAGCAGUGAAAUGCGUAGAUAUGCGGAGGAACACCGAUGGCGAAGGCAAUCCCCUGGGCCUGCACUGACGCUCAUGCACGAAAGCGUGGGGAGCAAACAGGAUUAGAUACCCUGGUAGUCCACGCCCUAAACGAUGUCAACUGGUUGUUGGGUCUUCACUGACUCAGUAACGAAGCUAACGCGUGAAG
rnacentral:rRNA from 1 species